GACGAACGCUGGCGGCGUGCUUAACACAUGCAAGUCGAACGAUGAAGCUGGAGCUUGCUCUGGUGGAUUAGUGGCGAACGGGUGAGUAACACGUGAGUAACCUGCCCUGGACUCUGGGAUAAGCGUUGGAAACGACGUCUAAUACCGGAUAGGACCUCGGAUCGCAUGAUCUGGGGUGGAAAGUUUUUCGGUCUGGGAUGGACUCGCGGCCUAUCAGCUUGUUGGUGAGGUAAUGGCUCACCAAGGCGUCGACGGGUAGCCGGCCUGAGAGGGUGACCGGCCACACUGGGACUGAGACACGGCCCAGACUCCUACGGGAGGCAGCAGUGGGGAAUAUUGCACAAUGGGCGCAAGCCUGAUGCAGCAACGCCGCGUGCGGGAUGACGGCCUUCGGGUUGUAAACCGCUUUUAGUAAGGAAGAAGGGGCUUCGGCCUUGACGGUACUUGCAGAAAAAGGACCGGCUAACUACGUACCAGCCGCCGCUGUAAGAC
rnacentral:rRNA from 1 species